UACAUGGGGUGCAAACGUUGCUCGGAAUUAUUGGGCGUAAAGCGCACGUAGGCGGUUUGUUAAGUCGGAUGUGAAAUCCCUGGGCUCAACCCAGGAAGUGCACUCGAAACUGGCAGGCUUGAGUACUGAAGAGGGUCGCGGAAUUCCCGGUGUAGAGGUGAAAUUCGUAGAUAUCGGGAGGAACACCAGUGGCGAAGGCGGCGACCUGGGCAGAUACUGACACUGAGGUGCGAAAGCGUGGGGAGCAAACAGG
rnacentral:rRNA from 1 species